rnacentral:rRNA from 1 species
GACGAACGCUGGCGGCGUGCCUAAUACAUGCAAGUCGAACGCUUCUUUCCUCCCGAGUGCUUGCACUCAAUUGGAAAGAGGAGUGGCGGACGGGUGAGUAACACGUGGGUAACCUACCCAUCAGAGGGGGAUAACACUUGGAAACAGGUGCUAAUACCGCAUAACAGUUUAUGCCGCAUGGCAUAAGAGUGAAAGGCGCUUUCGGGUGUCGCUGAUGGAUGGACCCGCGGUGCAUUAGCUAGUUGGUGAGGUAACGGCUCACCAAGGCCACGAUGCAUAGCCGACCUGGGGGGGGGAUCGGCCAACCUGGGAUGGAAAAACGGCCCAGCCCCCUACGGGAGGCAGCAGGAGGGAAUCUUCGGAAAUGGACGAAAGUCUGACCGAGCAACGCAACGGGAGUGAAGAAGGGUUUCGGAUCGUAAAACCCUGUUGUUAGAAAAGAACAAGGACGUUAGUAACUGAACGUCCCCUGACGGUAUCUAACCAGAAAGAAACGGCUAACUACGU